rnacentral:rRNA from 1 species
UACGUAGGGUGCGAGCGUUAAUCGGAAUUACUGGGCGUAAAGCGUGCGCAGGCGGUUUUGUAAGCCAGAUGUGAAAUCCCCGGGCUUAACCUGGGAAUGGCAUUUGGGACUGCAAGGCUUGAGUGCGGCAGAGGGGGAUGGGAAUUCCGCGUGUAGCAGUGAAAUGCGUAGAUAUGCGGAGGAACACCGAUGGCGAAGGCAAUCCCCUGGGCCUGCACUGACGCUCAUGCACGAAAGCGUGGGGAGCAACAGG